CACAGAUAUUCCAAAAAAGGAGAUAUAAACAUGACCAUAAAAGACAUGAAAAGAUGUUUAACCCCAUUAGUCAUCGUGGAAAUGCAAAUGAAAACCACCAUACAGACACUAGAGUGGUUUAAAUUUGAAUGACUUCCAACACCAAAUGCCAGACAGGACAUAGAGCAACUGGAUGUCUCAUGCUCACAGGCAGAAGGGAAAACUACUGUGUGUGACAGGAAGAUGGACUUACCCAACCUUCAGCAUUCUCAAUCUCUUGUCUAUUAACAUGUGUUUGAAACAUUAUGCAUUCAAAGCAAACAUCUGGGAGGAAGAUGGGAGAAGCCUUCUUGCCCCUGUUCUACAGAAGUAAUUGAAGUUCAUGACAUUCAAGCUCAUUCACCAGUAAAUGAAUUUGGGUCAUGCUU
rnacentral:lncRNA from 1 species